UCAUCAAUUUAUCGUCUGCCUGAUAUCGACAAGGAAGUUGCUCAGACGAUGCCGACGGAUUCGAAAAUGGCCAAGUUUCUUCAAUCCUAUGGAUAUGAUCUGAUUCUGGGAGCUAUAGCUGCAAUUUAUGUGCUCAUGGCACCAUACACUAAAGUGGAAGAGAGCUUCAACGUACAGUCAAUGCACGACAUUCUUUACCAUCGCCAUCGUUUGGACUCUUACGAUCAUUUGGAGUUCCCUGGUGUUGUGCCUCGAACUUUUAUUGGAGCCUUUAUAAUCUCUUUCUUUGCAUCACCCCUUGUGUUCAUUAUCAGCUUCCUUGGCUUCCCCAAAAUUUAUAGUCUUGUUGCAGCUCGUUUCGUCUUGGGCUGUAUCAUACUAUCCACACUUAGAUUUUUCCGGAUUCAGAUAAGGAAAAAGUUUGGAUAUCAAGUGGAAUCUUUCUUCCUACUUCUCACCACUCUCCAGUUUCAUUUGCUCUUCUACUCCACUCGUCCUCUUCCUAAUAUUCUAGCUUUGGGAUUAGUUAAUCUGGCAUAUGGUAAUUGGUUGAAGGGAAACUUCUAUUCAGCUUUGAACUUCUUGAUUUUUGCCACUGUAAUCUUCAGAUGUGAUGUGAUAUUACUGCUUGGGCCUAUCGCUCUCGAGUUUUUUUUGACCAAGUCCAUCUCCUUCUGGAAAACGCUUAAAUAUUGUGUUGGAACCGCUGUGGUGACCGCAGGUCUUACCAUUUUCGUUGACUCUAUCAUGUGGAAGAAGUUUGUCUGGCCAGAAUUUGAAGUUUUCUGGUUUAACUCCAUUCUGAAUCGAAGUUCUGACUGGGGUACACAUUCCAUUCAUUGGUACUUCACCUCAGCACUCCCACGGUCUUUGCUUGUAGCUUAUCCUCUAUCCCUGUUUGGUAUCUUACUUGACAGAAGGGUUCCAUUCCUUGUUAUUCCAGUUAUAUCCUUUGUUUUACUCUACUCUAAGCUUCCACACAAGGAACUCCGCUUUAUUAUUAGUUCAGUGCCAAUGCUCAACUUAUCUGCUGCUGUUGCUGCUAGCAGAAUCUACAAGAAUAGGAAGAAAACUAUUUGGAAACUGGCAAACAUGGUUAUGCUAGCAUUAUUUGCAAUCAGUGCAGGGUGCACGGUUUUCACAUUCAUGGCAUCUUACAACAACUAUCCAAGCGGCUAUGAUCUUAAGCGCUUGCAUCAGAUAAGCCAUCCUGCAAAUGUAAAGGGAGAAGAGUGGGUUCACAUAGACACUUUUAGUGCUAUGAAUGGAAUAUCUCGCUUUUGUGAAAGUGCUUUUCCGUGGAGGUGAGUGAGAUACUCAAAAGAGGAAGAAAUGGUGGUGGAGGAGUUACAAAACCGAAACUUCACCUACCUUGUGAACGAGCACCCGUCUGUGGAUGGAUACAAGUGCUUGUUUUCUGAAGAAGGCUUCGACAGAGUCGAACUGCGGCAAGGUUUCCCUCCCAUUGUUCUGGUAAAAAGAGCCAAAGUAUACGUGCACCAGGAUAUGAAGGCGGAUGACCAGUUGCAUAAGAAAUGGCCAGGAUGUUAGAUUCAUUGUUUUGGUCGAUGUAGCACAGCUUUGUUAUCCUGAGAGAGGAGAAGAUCAUGUAGCGAUGUCCAGAUAUUAGUAUACUUCCUUCCAUAUGCCUGUCGCUGUUCUGAUUCAUUGUCCUGGUCGAUGUAUCACAGCUUUCUGAGUUGACUUUUCUGGUUCGAGACGCUCGCUCACCAUUUCACUUGCCGGGUUUCCUACGACCAUUCUAACACUUAUUCCGCCCUUGUGUUGUGUGUAAUUUCUAUGUAAAAGAGAUACAGAAAAAAACAUAAUUCUGAUGGUGAUUAUGGUCCUUACUGAUGUAAACUAAUAAUGUUUACAUUGUUUUUAAUCUUCAAGAAGGAUUAUAUUAAACA